GCUUACUGCCAUACAAGCCUGAAUACGCCCAAUCUCGUCUGAUCUCAGCAGCUAAGAAGGGUAGGGCCUGGUUAGUACUUGGAUGGGAGACCGCCUGGAAAUACCAGGUGCUGUAAGCU
ensembl:rRNA 5S_rRNA 5S ribosomal RNA